rfam:Nicotiana attenuata strain TT scaffold06859, whole genome shotgun sequence.
GGAUGGGAUCAUACCAGCACAAACGCACCGGAUCCCAUCAGAACUCCGAAGCUAAACGUGCUUGGGCGAGAGUAGUACUAGGAUGGGUGACCCCCUGGGAAGUCAUCGUGUUGCAUCCU